AGAGUUUGAUCCUGGCUCAGGAUGAACGCUAGCGACAGGCCUAACACAUGCAAGUCGAGGGGCAGCAUUUUUGAAGCUUGCUUCAAAAGAUGGCGACCGGCGCACGGGUGAGUAACGCGUAUGGAACCAACCCGCAACAGGGGGAUAACCCGGAGAAAUCCGGACUAAUACCGCAUGGUACUCUUUGCACAGAAGUGUGAAGAUUUAAAGAUGCGAAUCGGUUGCGGACGGUCAUGCGUUCCAUUAGCUAGUUGGCGGGGUAACGGCCCACCAAGGCGACGAUGGAUAGGGGUUCUGAGAGGAAGGUCCCCCACACUGGAACUGAGACACGGUCCAGACUCCUACGGGAGGCAGCAGUGAGGAAUAUUGGUCAAUGGGCGGAAGCCUGAACCAGCCAUGCCGCGUGCGGGAAGGAGGCCCUAUGGGCUGUGAACCGCUUUUGCCUGGGGGCAAUAAGGGCGUCGCGCACGUCCGAUGAGAGUACCAGGCGAAUAAGCAUCGGCUAACUCCGUGCCAGCAGCCGCGGUAAUACGGGGGAUGCGAGCGUUAUCCGGAUUUAUUGGGUUUAAAGGGUGCGUAGGCGGCGAAUUAAGUCAGCGGUGAAAGACCGGGGCUCAACCCUGGAAGUGCCGUUGAUACUGAUUGGCUAGAAUACCCUUGCCGUGGGAGGAAUGAGUGGUGUAGCGGUGAAAUGCAUAGAUAUCACUCAGAACACCGAUUGCGAAGGCAUCUCACGAAGGGGCGAUUGACGCUGAGGCACGAAAGCGUGGGGAUCGAACAGGAUUAGAUACCCUGGUAGUCCACGCAGUAAACGAUGAUGGCUAACUGUCGGGCCUACGGGUUCGGCGGCCAAGCGAAAGCGAUAAGCCAUCCACCUGGGGAGUACGACCGCAAGGUUGAAACUCAAAGGAAUUGACGGGGGCCCGCACAAGCGGAGGAACAUGUGGUUUAA
rnacentral:rRNA from 1 species